UGACAGAAUAGCCAGCCAAUCAGAUGAUUUCCAGGAUAUCAAUUAAGCUAAUAGACCACCAUUGGCCAAAGUGGCAAGCUUUGAUCCCACUGUGGAGAACAACUCAAUUAUUCAUCAGGAAGAGUUCAGCUAUAGCAAGGAUCAACUGCAGAUAACCAUGGAAGAAAGGUUAACAGAAUAAAGAGCAGUAGAGCCCAUCAGAAGCAAGAGACAAAGUUAAUUACUACUUGGAGCCUAGUAGUCUUGUAAAGGUUUGGUUUUUGUCUUAAAAACCAGUCAUAAGGUGAGCUUUUUUUGUUUUAUUUGCAUAUAUUUCUGUUUCCCUCUCCCUGCCCUUUCUAACCAUUACUAACCUGCACUUUCCUUUUACAAUUGUUUGUGUCCUUUCCCCAGAAAUGUAUUUGUUAUUUUUUUUUUUGUGAUUUAUAAAUUGAUAUAUAUUAUCAUCUGUCAUUGUUUCUGAAAUGUACUAAUUUUGUGUCAGUUUCUACCUUCAAAAGGUUCUCAGAAGAGGAAUGGACAGCUAGUUGCCGACUACAAAUCAAAGUUGAGACCAUUGCGAGGAUCCAGGAUACUGGGUAUCCACCAAGCCUACAGGUCAUUACUGGCCAAAAUGAAUAAUGGUAAGGGAAGCCUUGAUCCUAUGGUGGAGAAAUAAUUCCAUUGACUCAUCAACAGAAAUCAACUACAGCCAGCCAUGGAAGAAAAGUGAGGAAGCAGCAUAUCCGGUUGACCACCAUAACGUAAGCUGGCUUUACGAGCAAUGAGUCCGGUUAAUUAGAAAUAGUGCAUCACCUGCCAGCAAGAGUACAUAAAGCUAGAAUUAACUGCUGCCAACCCAGCAG